AUUGACUACAGAGCUGUGCAAUGACUCCCCAAAUGUAGCUACAGAAGACCAAGGACUGAUUAAGGUAGCAGAAGGUCAUAAGGAUGAGAUUUCCCAAACUGUAUGGAAGUGUACAUUUAUAUUUCUAUAAAAGCAUGAUUUUACUACACUA